CCUACGUGCGGCAGCAGUGGGGCAUAUUGGGCAAUGGGCGCAAGCCUGACCCCGCAACGCCUCGUGACGGAAGCAGGCUUUCGUGUUGUAAACUUCUUUUAAGAGGGAAGAUCAGAAGACGAUACCUCUUGAAUACGCCACGGCUAACUACGUCCCAGCAGCCGCUUUAAUACGGAGGUGGCAAGCGUUGUCCGGGUUUACUGGGUUUAAAGGGCGUGCAGCCGGGAAGACAAGUCAGAUGUGAAAUCCCGCGGCUCAACCGCGGAACUGCAUUUGAAACUGUUUUUCUUGAGUACCGGAGAGGUCAUCGGAAGUCCUUGUGUAGCGGUGAAAUGCGUAGAGAUAAGGAAGAAUACCAGUGGCGAAGGCGGAUGACUGGACGGCAACUGACGGUGAGGCGCGAAAGAGUGGGGAGCAAACAGGAUUAGAUACCCGAGUAGUC
rnacentral:rRNA from 1 species